CCAUUAUGUUGCCAUAUUUAUAUUUUCAUACCAAAAAACUUCUAAUCAUUAUUAAACAAUUAAUCUAAGAUAAAGUGUUAAUGAGUUGUUUUUAGCGUAAAUUUGUUUAUAAUGUAAGAAUUUUGUUUGAGAAAUUUGUUCAUCAAUGAGAUGGGUGAAAUAUUCAACAUUAUCAUAAAUGGAAUUAUUAAAUUUAAGGCCUAAAAGUAUGCUUUAAGUGAAACCAUUGCCAGAGCCUUGAAGUAUGCUCCAGCUUAAAAAUCAAAAAAGUAUGAUAUUUAUCUUUAAAAACUUUUAGAUUAUCAUAAAAGAAUUUGAAACUGAUUAAUUAAAAUUCAAAAAAUUAAUCACUAUUCAAAAUUUUCAAUAUUUCCCAAAAAGUAAAUGAAACGAAGAAUAUCCUUGAGGCAUUCCCAUGUCCAUUUAUUCACACACACACACAAACUCCAUACUUUUUUCCCUUCAUUUAAAUAAAUUCAAAGCAAAAAGUUAUGACAAAAUUGAAACCCCAAAACGUUAAACGGCAAAGGAAAAAAGUUGCCGGUUUUUAUGACUUUUUCCCACAUUCCCCAUCUCCUCUUCAGUUGGUCCCCCUUUGUUUGUGUUGAGUAAUAAAUUUUUGGCUUUGCGGUUUCCUUCCUUUUUUUUGGUUCUAUAAAUUUAUGUGACCAGAGUUUUUGUUUUUUUUUGCGUUUGCCACGUGUUUGCAAAACUGGACCAUUAAGUAAUUCAAUUGGUUUCAAAGUUUUAGGUUUUCAUAUUUAUUUUUUGUUCAUUGCUUGAUUGCUCGAGGUUUCGUUGGAGGUGUGUCGUCUUGUGGGUUGUUUUGGUAAAUUGCUUUAAAUGUGGGUUGUAUUUGAAUGGGAUGGCAAUUUUCGGAUUGAAAUUUGUAAACCCAAUAAAUAUUUUUCAAACAAAAUUGACAAAGUAAAAAGUUUGAGAAGCCUUACGAUGUCCCGUGAGGUCAUCUACUCUACAAUAGAUACCCUGUGAGGUCAUCUACUCUACAAUAGAUGCCCUGUGAGAUCAUCUACUCUACAAUAGAUGUCCUGUGAGGUCAUCUACUCUAUAGAAGAUGUCCUGUGAGGUCAUCUACUCUAUAGAAGAUGUCCUGUGAGGUCAUCUACUCUACAGUAGAAGUCCUGUGAGGUCAUCUACUCUACAGUAGAUGUCCUGUGAGGUCAUCUACUCUACAGUAGAUGUCCUGUGAGGUCAUAUACUCUACAGUAGAUGUCCACUGAAGCCAUCUACUCUACAGAUGUCCACUGAAGCCAUCUACUCUACAGUAGAUGUCCACUGAGACCAUCUACUCUACAGUAGAUGUCCUGUGAGGUCAUCUACUCUACAGUAGAUGUCCUGUAAGGUCAUCUACUCUACAGUAGAUGUCCACUGAAGCCAUCUACUCUACAGUAUACGUCCACUGAGGCCAUCUACUCUGCAGUAGAUGUCCACUGAGGCCAUCUACUCUACAGUAGAUGUCCACUGUGGCCAUCUACUCUGCAAUAGACGUCCACUGUGGCCAUAAACUCUAAAGUAGACGUCCACUGAGGCCACCUACUCCACAGUAGACGUCCAUUGAGGCCACCUACUCUACAGUAGAUGUCCACUGAGGUCAUCUACUCUACAGUAGAUGUCCACUGAGGUCAUCUACUCUACAGUAGACGUCCACUGAGGCCAUCUCCUCUACAGUAGAUGUCCACAGUGGCCAUAUACUCUACAGUAGAUGUCCAUUAAGGCCACCUACUCUAUUAUAGUUGCCAUGUGAGGUCAUCUACUCUACAAUAGAUGCCCUGUGAGGUUACCUUCUCUGCAUUAGAUGUCCACUGAGACCAUCUACUCUACAGUAGACGUCCACUGUGGCCAUCUACUCUACAGCAGACGUCCACUGUGGCCAUCUACUCUACAGCAGACGUCCACUGUGGCCAUCUACUCUACAGCAGACGUCCACUGUGGCCAUCUAUUCUACGGUAGAUGUCCACUGUGGCCAUCCACUCUAAAGUAGAUGUUCAUUGAUGAUACUUUUGUUAAGUAAUUACCCUAUGAGGUUAUCUAGCAUACAGUAGAUGCCUUAUAAGGUUAUGAACUCUAUAGUACUCUAUAGGCCAACUACUCUUCAAUAAAUGCCUUGUGAAGCUAUAUUCAGUAGAUGCCCUUUAAAAAGUGGAUGGUCUCCAAGGGCAGCAUAUGCAUUUGUGACCUACAGAUUAUUCUCCACUUUCAAGUUUUCUUGAAGUUUUCACCUUCAAUGUGUUAUUUUUUCCAAACUGCACCUAACAUGUGCCUAGAGUUUAGCACACUCACCGACAAGUGUUUUUGCUCGUUCCCCAAUUAAUAUUUCAUCAAGGCAAUAAUUGUUGCCCUUACAAAUCUCCCUUUCUGUCAAUACAAGCUUCCAGCCUCAGCAGCUACCUGAAACUUUGCUUUUAACGAAAACACAAAUCCUUACAGUCUUAAAUGACUACCUCCCAAAAGUAUGCAACGUUUAACAACUUCCCCGUAACACCAAACAAAAAUCUUUUAGAUUUUACGCUUGUCAAAGCAUCAAUGCUGUUGAAAAUAAUUUAUUCACUCAACUUGUCACAGUUUUUUGUUAGGCAUAAGUCAUUUACAUUAAGGCCAAACCAAAGAAGAAGAAGAAAAAAAACGCAACACUCAAUGUAGGUACAAAGCCAUCUACUUAGGUUUUAAUAACUCACACCAAAAAAAAAAAAAACAGCAAAUUGAGGCAUAUUUUAAGGCGCUUAAAUUAUUCAGUCUUUUUUUAUUCGAUGAUUGUUUCUUUGUUGUUGUUGUUGAGAAGCAGUGGAAUUUGUGUUCCUUACUUUGCACUUAAUUGAAUAUAUAUUGGGAAUAUCCUUGGCAUUGUUAAUAUGAUGAAUUGGGGGAAUGUGUGUGUGUGUGUGUGGGGGAUUAUUAAGUGAUGGCUUUGUGGUUCUGUAAAGCAUACUUUUAAGGUUUUGUAUGAAUAAUUCUGUUUUUUAAUGUGAUAAGGCUGUUAAUACUCCCUCCUCUUUCUUUUUUAUGUUGCGAUUGGGAAGGGGUGGCCUUUGGGCGGGGAACAUAAUAAUUAACAUUUUUUAUUACAGCUUUUAUAGGUAAGUAUAAUUUAAUUAUAAUAUACUAUUAGGCGUUUGUUGUGAAUAUUUGAUCAAUAGUUUUAAUAUUUUUCUCUUUUAUCAAUGAUGAACAAAUUUCUUGGCUUAGGGAUUUUUUCUUUAUUGAAUUUUAAGCAAUUAAAAUUUUGUAAAAUAUUCCUAAUUAUUAUGCCACUCAAUCAUUUAAUUUUAGUGGCCAUAAAAUUUUUAAUUAAUUUGUUUAUUUCACAAAUUUUAUACUUCAUUAUUUACGUAAUUUCUAUCAACUGUUUGUCUUUGCCUAUUUUACUUACUGGGGGGGGGGGGUGAAUUUUGUAUAGCUUUCAACCAUCAUUUAUUCUAAUUAAUGAAGCCAUUUAAAAUUGUCAAACCGUUUUGGUGAGGUUAUUGAUUAUACGCACUCUUCAUUCUCCAAAUAUAUUCCUAUCACUCGUCGUGUUUUUUUCCUCUGAAUUUUAUUAAACGCGUGCCUAAAUUUUAAUUAAAACCUCAUUGCAUACACAGUUGAAAUUUGUUUACAAAUUGAUUGAAUACGCACCCAAUUACCAUGACAAAACGUCAUCAGCACACACACACACUCCAACACACAUGACGUUUAUUUAAAUUUCAAUACAAUCGUCAUUGAGGUAUUGUCUGUUUGUAUGGGUGUUGUCGCUAUUGGACCAAUUGAGUUGCCAAAAAAAAGUUGCACUCAACAGCUUGUUCAGUCUAUGAUAUGUUAUACGAGGCUGACAGUGUAAGUGAUGGGAAAUAUGAGACCAAUCUUAUCUAGUGUGAAAUUAUAAACACUUUUAAAAAAGACACAAAUGAUAUCUUUUUUUUAAAGAAGGUCUUCUCUAAGACUUUUAUCCAUGGAAGACCCCUAAAAUAAAGGGUGCUUUAUGAAGCCCGAUAGAACUUGAUAUUAAACAAAAAAUAACACAAAAAAUUAAGUUUAAUCAAUUUUUUUUAUUCGAAAGAUCAAUACCUGACAUUAACAUUUGAAAAUGAUUUCGGGCAUAUGGGCACCCCUGGUGUUCUUGACGAAGUGCCUUCCAAUUCUUGGCCACUUUUUCGAGCACGAGUAUGUCACGAAUAACACGAACAAUGCUGGCCUCCAAGGCGUCAAUGGUUGCUGAUUUAUCAGCCUAAACCAGUGACUUCACGUAUCCACACAGGAAAUAAUCAAGAGGUGUCAAAUCGCACGACCUUGGAGGCCAAUUGACAUGUCCACUUCUCGAAAUCAACUUAUCGCCAAAUUUUGAUUUCAAUAAGUUCUCAAUAAGUUGCGUUCGCCGUAUUGCCAUCCUGUUGAAACCACAUGUCCUCCGGAUCAAUGUCAUCCAUAUUUUUAAACAAAAAAUCUUUGAUCAUAGCGCGGUAACGAUCUCCAUUGACCGUAACGCGAGCUCCGGCCUCAUUUUUGAAGAAAUAAGGUCCGAUGAUGCCGCCAGCGUGAAAACCGCACCAUUCGGUGCAUGGAUGUAAUGAAGUCUGUAGUGUCUCUGGUGGAUUGUUCUCAUUCCAUAUGCGACAAUUUUGCUUAUUCACAAACCCGUUAAGCCAAAAAUGCGCCUCAUCGGUGAACAUAAUUUUGCGAUAAAACAACGGGUCAUUUGCCAACUACUCUAGAGCCUGAUUAUACCCUACACCACAAGGUGAUCUGGGUAUAAUGUCUUUGUGCAUUUGUUUGUAACAGGCAAAAGGAAACGAUAUAGACCCAUAGUUCCUUUUGAUGAUCUGCAUAGAAUCACAUUCUGAGUCGAUUUAUGCAUGUCCGUCCGUCCGUCUGUUUGUCUGUCCGUCUGUCCAUUAUUAUUGUCCUAUCCAGAUGAAAUUUUGCACAAAUCAUUUGUUUGGCCCAAGGACGAACCCUAUUGAAAUUGGAGAUAAUCGGUCAAAAUUUAGAUAUAGCUCCGACAUAUAUCUUCGCCCGAUUUGCCUUUUAUUGUGCACCAAACGUGUAAUAUCAGUCCGAAUAGUAUGGAAUUUUGCACGUACGAUCAGAUUAGGCCAGAAAAUAAGUAUGCCAAAUUUGAUCGAAAUCGGUUCAGAUAUAGCUAUAGCUCCCAUAUAUAUUGUUCAUCCGAUUUGUUAUUUUUGUCCUCCGCAGCCGUAAUAUGCACUUUGUAACAACAAUAUUUGGGGAAAUAUAUCAUAUGCAACUCAGAAAUACCUUUGCUAAAUUUUAUCGAAAUCGGUUCAGAUUUGGAUAUAGCUCCUGUAUAUAACUUCGUCCGAUUUACCUUGGAUUGUGCACCAAACGUCUAAUAUUUGAAAUUUGGCACUUACGACCGAAUUGAGUCUAGAAGCUAGUAUGUCAAAUUUGGUGAAGAUCCGUUCAGAUAUAGCUAUAGCUCCCAUAUAUACUGUUCAUCCGAUUUGUCAUAUUUGUUACCCACAGCCGUAAUAUGCACUCCGUAACAACGAUAUUCAGGGAAAUAUAUCAAAUACAGCUCAAAAAUAUCAUUGCUAAAUUUUAUCGAGAUCGGUUCCGAUUUGGAUAUAGCUCCCAUAUAUAUGUUUAUACUAUUUCAAUUUAAUUGUGCACCAAAUGGGCAAUACAAGUCCGAAUUUAAAAGAUGCAAAUGCUUCGGCAUAUUUAGUCUUUUGAACUUUAAAUUACAAUUAUAAUCAUAGCGUGUAUGAUUGAAUUCUCCCAUAAAAACUUUUAAUUGUUAUGCGCAGCUCUACUAAAUUAGCAAAGUGGUGUAGGGUAUCAUAAAGUCGGCCUCGUCCGACUUUAAGACUUUCUUUACUGGUUUUCAAAGUAAAUUUGGAUAAUUUCGACGCGUUUUUCAUUCAAGCUUGAGUCUAUUCAUUAUGAUUUGUCUGAAUAUACUGGAACAAAUAAAAAAAAGUUUCAUCAAAAUUUAAUUUUUUGUGUUACUUUUUACAAUUUAAAGUUCUAUCUAGCUUAAAAAAAAAACACCCUUUAUGUUAUAUCUAUACAGGGUGAGCAAAAAAAAACUGCAUCAAAGUCAAACGCCAAAAUUUUUAGAAAUUUUUUUUAAUUUUUUUGUAUGAAAGCAAAAAAUGUCGGAAAUAGCAUCAAAUUUUACAAUAAGUUUAGAUUUGUUCGAAUUGGUCACCUAUGGCAGGAAUUAUGCCCUUCGGCCAAUGAAACCGACACACGCUGCCCUAAUAUUUCUAUGAGGUAGUUUGGUCCAUUCCCGGCGAAGCGCUUGCUUGAGGGGAUCGACACUUUGGUAUUUUUAAGUGCCAACCUUGUUUUCUAAAAUACUCCGGACACAAUAGUUCAACGGAUUGGUAUCCGGAGAUUUUGGUGGUAUAUUGUGCGCUGGAAAUGAAGCGAAGAAACUAAUUUUGUAACAAUUUUUGGGUGGCGCAUGCUGAGUGCGAUGGUACUGAGUCCAGUUUAAAUAUCCAAGGCCUGCGGUCGAAAUAUUUGAGUGUCCAAGGCUUUAAUACACCCUCCAGAAUAUUUUCGCCUGCUUGAGGGGUGCCACAUGUGUUUUCCAGACAAAUGUGUUUUUCCAGACAAAUAUAAAGAAAUCACACUAUCACGCUUGAAUUCCAUCACGACGAUCAUUUUUUUCUGGAAAAUUAUCACCAAAAUGCUUUUGUGCGCUUGUAAACAAUAUAAUGAGCUGUCACUAGAAUAAUUUAAACAGCUGUCGGACGAGUGGUUUAGAAAUGACAGAACUCUCUGAAGUUGUUUGUAGUUUUUUCAUCUCAUCCGGUACUUUUCGAAUUGUCCUCCAAGACAAUCCCUGUUGUGUGUUUUAAUCAAUAACUAUUAUUUCCUUUUCCUUAAAUUUAUAUACCAACCUCGUUUGAUGUGAUUAUGUAAUAUCGUGUUAUAUUUUUUAUACCUUCAGCCCUACAUUGCUUUUAUUACGCAUUCAUUCUUUCAUUCAUUCCGAGUUUUCCGUUUAUUUUUUCAGUUCAUUCUCUGAACUUUAAUUUUCGUUUAACUUGUUUUCGUUUUUCUUCUCUUCCGAUUACAAUGCGUUUCAAUUCUAUGUCAUUCUGUUUUUAAAUUUGUGUGUGUGUGACUUAAUUAUAGCCCACAAACGGUUGAUUACACGUUUAAAUAUGUUUGCUUGUGUUUUGUUUUCCGGUUCACUGCCGCCCAUGUUUUUGGGCAAUUUACCAAAAACAAUGUACACUUUUCCUCACCGAUCUUUCGCUCUAAAUAGACGUUGUUAAAUUGUAAUCAUUUGUGACGAAUUAUGUCUAAAUUCAUUCUUUUCAGUUACCAUUUAUACAUGCCAUCGGUUGCCUAAGGAAAUUUGAAAGAUUUUUAAAAGAGAGUAUCCUUUUAGAAUGUCGUAAUAAUUUCCCCCCUCAUGAUUUUUUUAUUUUAAUCAGCUUUAUGAAAUGGGUUACAGUUUUUUUUUUUUCAAAAAAACAAAUUAAAGGUUAUAGCUUAUUUAGUCGGUUAUAGCCCUAACUGUUCUUGAAAAAAAUAUUCUUUUAAAAUCCACAAUUAUAGCUAUAAUCGUUCUUAACGAAUUUUUGAUUAUAGCUCUGAUAAAAAAAAUAAUAAUAAAAUCAAUGAUUAUGCAUCUGAAUGUGCCUUAAUGUACCACUUGUGUAGCUCAUUUAAAAAUAUUUUUAAAAAGUUAAUGAUUAUUCUUCAGAUAGUCCUUUAAAUAACUGCUCUGAUAGUUUUUCCAAGAAUUCUUAAAAAAUCUACGAAUACACACCUGAUAUUCCCUUAAAAAAAAAACUCCUAAAAACCAACUGUUAAAGCCCUUCCAAAAAUGCAUAUAAAAUCAGGAUUGCAGCUCUUUCAAAAAAUUAAAAUAAAUCCACAAUUAAUGUUUCAAUAGUCCAUCUAAAAAUUCUUAAAAAAAUCCAGGAUUACAGCUCUGAAAGUUCUUUCCAUUGUUUUUAAUCACGAUUACUGCUCUGAUUGUCCUUCCAAUUCUUUUUUUUUUUUUUUCAAAAUGCUCGUUUACAGAUUUAUAUGGUCCUUCACAAAAUUCUAAAAAAAAAAGUUUGCAGUACUCUAAAAGUCCUAAAAAUUCUUUAAAAAUCCACGAUUACAGUUCGGAUAGUCUUUCCUAUGAAUCUUGAAAAAAAUCCAUGGAUACAGAUCUUAGGGUCUUUCCGAAAAUUCCUAAAAAAAUACGUAAUUGGUGCUGUAAAAUUCUGCCACAAAAAACACAACUCUGUUAGGCAUUGAACAAAAAAAAAAUAAAAAAAAGUUCCGAAAAUUCCUAAAAUAUUCGGGAUUACUGCUCUGAAAAUUCUUCCAAAAAUUGCAGCUCUGAUAGUCCUUAAAAAAAAAAAAAAAACUUACAGUUCUUCAAAAAAUUCUUAAAAACUUCUUUCAACAAAAAAAAAAUAUUUAAAAAAUUAAAGGAUUACAUAACUGAUAGCCCGUCUAAAAUUUCUUCAAAAAAUCUACGACUACAGCUCUAAGGGUCAUUUCGAAAAAUCUUAAAAAAGCAUGUCCGAUAGUCCUUCAAAAUUACUGCUCUGAAAAUUCUUCCAAAAAUUACAGCUCUGAUAGUCCUUUCAAAAAAAAAAAAAAAAACAAAAAAAAAACAAAAAAAAAAAAAAAACUUACAGCCUGUUCCACGAUCUCGAAAGAAAAUUUGUGCGAACGAAGGCUACUCACUCACUUUCGUAUAAAAAUGCGUUCCACUAACUUUCGUUCUUUCUUUCGCAUAGCCUUACGUGAUUCAGUGUUGCUAAAUAUUUUUUUGGAAAAAUUAAUCGCGAAAUAAAGCAAAAAAAGCGUCAAAUGUCUAAUUUAAACGCGAAAAAGCAGCAGUGGCUCUUUCUCAACUGACAUUUCAGUUGUAAACAAACAAAUUGUAAAUAAACAAACAAAAUAAAAUUUCUAGUGAUUGUGUUCAAACUAUUUGUGCUCUUAGAAAAUAAAAAAAAGAAUAUUUCCGUAGCCCUAUUUUUUAUGGAGGAGGUUCGAAAUGUGCCACGGAGGCAUUUAGGAGAUGCUUCGAAUUUAUUUGAAGUACCUAACAACCAGUUUGUGGCCAACUUUCGUAUGUCGAAGGAAGUUUUCGGACUCUUUUGGAUAUGAUGGAAGAGAAGUGGGUGCCCUGUUGCAGAACUACCCAAAUCCGCCCCGAUUUAAAACUUCUUCUGCUGCUUCCAAAAAUUGGCAUUCCUCUGGCCAAUCCACAGGAUUCUCCUCCAUUUACUCAACUAGUGCCCGCAGCUGUGUAGUUGAUGAUUUUUUCGUGCUGGAAUUGAGAAAAUAAAAAAAAUAUAUAUUUGUUGUUCACAUAUUAAA